rnacentral:rRNA from 1 species
CGCCUGGGAACUACGAGCACAAACGCUUAAAACCCUAAGGACUUGGCGGUGUCCCAAAACCCCCUAGAGGAGCCUGUUCUGUAAUCGAUAACCCACGCUACACCUCACCCCUCCUUGCCCAAGCAGCCUACAUACCGCCGUCGCCAGCCCACCUUAUAUGAAAGCACAACAGUGGGCACAAUAAUUUUUUCCCCAUUAACAAGACAGGUCAAGGUAUAGCCCAUGGAGGGGAAAGAAAUGGGCUACAUUUUCUAANAUAGACAAUACACGAAAGAGGACCUGAAACAGCCCUCAGAAGGAGGAUUUAGCAGUAU